GACAGAGGUUGCAAACGUUGUUCGGAAUUACUGGGCGUAAAGGGCGCGUAGGCGGCCUCGCAAGUCCCGUGUGAAAUCCCUCGGCUCAACUGAGGAAUGGCACGGGAAACUGCGGGGCUUGAGUUCGGGAGAGGGAAGCGGAAUUCCGGGUGUAGCGGUGAAAUGCGUAGAUAUCCGGAGGAACACCGGUGGCGAAGGCGGCUUCCUGGACCGAUACUGACGCUGAGGCGCGAAAGCUAGGGGAGCAAACGGG
rnacentral:rRNA from 1 species